AGCGUUGGGUGGCGGGUUAUUUAUUUACUGUAUUUUUUAAAUACAUUUCGGAUGCCAUAACCUGCUCCGCCACCAUCCAUUUCCCUUUGUGUGAUCUUGUUUCUCUUUUCUAAUUUUUUGAAUUUUAUCUGUUCUUUCCACAGUCACACGGUUCCUUCUCAAGAGUCUUUUGGAUACAUUUCUUGAGGGAUCCAAAAAGGAAUCCUCUCCCCCUUUCUUCUCUACAUGUGUCAGGACGCUGCGUUUCCUCUCCGCUUUGUGGGAACGGGAAGCAGCAGCAUUGUGUUGGAGCUGACUGUGGUUUAAUCAUUAAUGAGCACUAACAGUCGGGGCAGGACAGGCAUGGCCUACAGCCGGGGACACACACAGGACGGUAAUACCAUUAUUACAUACACAGCCCGUAUGCAUUAGCACGGUUGUAACGUGAUUGUGGUUUAGGCAUAAUGCGUACUUAGUGGUACCUCCUGUUCAGCAGCCUGGAGGGUAAAUAUGACUUUCUGACAUAUUCAUAUUUAUCCAGUGUAGCAGUUAGUGUGUGAGACAGGGACAACUGAGCUAAGCGUUUAAAGCAAAGAGACACUGAUUAAAACGUGUUUACAUGUAUGGAAUUAUACUGUAACGUAGCAUAAAUUAAUAACAGGCCGCAGCAGGUGAGAUUCAAGUGCCUCUCACAAUGCUGCAUUUUAGAGUUCCAUCACACUUCAUAAGUAUGUUAACUAUGAAGGCUAAACUGUUUUGGAUAUUGUGUUAGCCCAAGCUUUUAAAAACUGACAAAUUUACCUUUAUUACAGGUGCAGAUGUAAGCUAAUGAUGUGUGGUGUUACCAUAUCUUAUAAAGAUACACGUUUGGUUUACUACAUUGAGAGCAUAGCCUACUAAGCAACCAAUGUGCCAUCAUGACACAUUUAUAGGCUUACAUUUUUUGUGCCAAAGCCUUGAUGUAACAUAAAACAAGAAUAACUAAUAUGAUAAUUAGUCUCACAUAUUAGUUUAUAAUUCUACAAUGGCGGAAGUGAAAAAUGAAGCUCAUAAGCUGCUCCAUAAUGACGCACUUUAACACAAUAGCUUUAGUUAACAUGCAGUUUGAAAACUAGGACUUGAAGGCAACAGUGUGACCUGAUUUCUGUUACCAUAUCAUGUGACUGCUUUGAAAUAUUCAUACAUGCUGGCUGUGUGUGCAGCUCAGUUGUAGGUUAAUGAGCGGGUUGUUAUGCGUCUUUGCAGGUGUUUUGCAGUUUGGGAGAAGCGGGGCGGCAAACGGCACCAAACGGCACAGAGAGAGGAAGACUCGGGCUCGAGCACGGAGACUGGAGGUGUUUGCUAAAUGAGAAAGUCUGCCCGGUUGGAAGAAGCGGUUAAUGUCAGGAAGAGAGUGUGAAGGAGAGAAACAUAAAUGGAUAAUGCACCUUAAAGUGAGACAGUCACAGCCUGCUCUCACGCGCCCUGAAUGUCAAUGCGCUGUGUUAUCUUCCCUAUUUGCUGUUUCCUCCUGUAGAUGACACACUGAGGUUUAACCAGACUUAAGUAUGUUUCAUGUACAGUUGGCCUUUUCUUGCCCUUUUGUUUACGUCACACAGCUAAAGCUAAAUCCUGCAAUUAUUCAGAAUGGCGCACCGUUUUGAACGAGUUUGUGAGGCCAAAUUGUCCAAAUAAAUUGAAUAUUUUUUCAGCGAAAUAUGAAAAUAAAAAUGUAAAAAAGGCAACAGUUUUAAUUUUCUACUACUAUCAGAUACAAUAACGCUACUACUAAUAUGACCACCGUAAUAACAAUGAUACUCGUACAUGGGAACAGUACGCAGUCGGUGAAAAUAUUCGGGGAUGUGUUUCCUAUCUAAAUAACUAGCCUAUUUAUAUUAUAAAAAAUAACAACAUCUCUAAUAUCAAUAAUGAUAACAAUAAUAAUAAUAACCUGCAUGGUGUGUAAUAAUUUAAGCCGGCUAUGUGCAGUAAAUCAGACGCGCGCGCGCGCGCGUGUGUGUGUGUGUGUGUGUGUGUGUGUGUGUGUGUGACCGAGCUGCGGUGUAAACAGUUGAGGGCUGCUGAAGGAACUCCAGGAAUCUGAGAAACUUCAGAGAUUAUCGACAAUUAAAGCUGAAGGAGUCAGACUGCUGCUUUAUUGCUUUAUGGCUCUGUGUGUGUGUGUGUGUGUGUGUGUGUGUGUGUGUGUGUGUGUGUGUGUGUGUGGUACAGAGAGAGAGAAAGAAAGGGAGAGAGAGAGUGUUCAGGACUUUUAUGGUUUUAUGGCCGUUUAUGACUCCUUGUAAAGUCCGAGGAAUGGCGACGAACUGAAAAACAGGCCCGCAGCAAACAGCAGAUGAACAAAUGUGCUGUGCUGCACACAAGGAAAGCGCGUGCACACACGAACACGAGCACUGUGCAGUUCAUCUGCGGUUCAUUUCAGCCUCGGCAAUGCUCAAACCGCCGGCAUUGCACUCAGUAUUAUUAAAAAGCAUUGUGAAAUAAUUAACUGUCUAUGAAAUUAAACAUUCGCACUUUAUUUUAUUGACUUACACUUUUUUUUUUGUUUUUGCUGUUUUUUGCCCAGAAUUUGAUUUCAACCCCUGCACAGAGAUAACUACACUGGGGAAUGUUCCGAAAUAUCCCUAGUGUUGAAACUGCAGCCACCAUUUGGAAAAUAACGCAUCUUGAUUUCUAAAUUCAAAAACGUGUAUUUUCAACAUGUAUUUCAGUCCUAAAUGUUUUCUUUUUUUCAUGUUUUUAUUUUCUCAUUUUUUCCUUCUUUUUAUUUGAGGAAUUUGAAAAAAACACGGCAUCUAAAAGAAAAAGAAACUCACAAUAAUCAGAAAUAUUUUUAUAUCAAGGUGAUGGAAGACAAAUAUUUGAUUUGGAAAAAAAGGUACAUCCUCUCAGGUGUUUCCGUUCCAACGUUGAAUAACUUUAAAUGUUUUUAAAAUAGUCUGUGACAUGUUUAAGAUACCACUUAUCACCUGUCUGUUUAAUCCUGUAAAGAGAAGAAAAAAUUGGACUUUAAUAUCUCUGUAUAUUAAUAUCUGUUUCACGUAACUACAGCAGUGUAGAGGUGCACGUAAUGUCCGUACCUUUAGAGUAUAAGCCUCAGUAUCCUGGUUAAAAAACAGUGUGUACGUGCGUGUUUUUGUGCGCGCGCGUUGACCGACCUCUCCUGCGCGAGUUAAUGACAAACUGAAAGAAACUGCCUCACUAGUGUUUUUUUGUUUUAAUGUAUUAAUCGUUUCCAGGGUGCGCGAGCUGGCUGGCUGCGUCCUUCACGGCACCGUGAGCUCGUGCUUUGGGUCAGUUCACCGAACUGUUACCGGUGGGCGAGAGCCCUCGGCCACAUAAUGGCCCCGGGACGAGUUAAAGAUUAACGGACGGAUGAAUGCAGCAUCACGGGGAGCUGGGGCAGCUUGUUUUUCUCCAACUCUCUGCUAAAUGAAAAAAAAAACGGAGCGGACACGCGCACUGGUGCACGCGUAACUAAUUUAUUUUAUUAUAGCCGGUAACCACGGACAUAAUACGAUAUAAGAAGUUCUAAAACAUAAACCACAUCAAAUUGUAAUUGCAAUUCACAUUUUAAAUACGUAUUACAAUGACUCGAUUAUUAUCAUUUGUUUUAUUAAGUCGUGGUGAUUAUUAUUAUUAUUAUUAUUAUUAUUAUUAUUAUUAUUAUUAUUAUGAUUGUUAUUGUUGUUGUUGUUGUUGUCGCCGUUGGUGUUGUCAUUUUUGAAGGUUGUUUUUUUAUAAACUUUGUCAAUACCAAAAUGGCAUAAUUAUUACCUAUGAACCUGCACAUUAUGUGUAACUACAUUAAUACUUGGUAUGAUUAUGGUGGUGCAUGUGAACAGUUUAUAUACACUUAAAUAUUAUGUGGAAUUCACUUUUAAUAUUAUCGUAUGGUAAUCAGAAUCUACCUCAGUCUCUUUGUUCACACCAGAGAAAGACAGAAAGCCACAACCAACAAGACAAAAGAGUAAAUGUACGGCCCACACAUUUCCACACGGUCACGUGCACGCACAUACUCCCUGGCUCUCGUCAUGUCUGGUCUGGUUUCAUUCCAAAGAGGACAACAAAGUGAAGUCUCGGGCACAUCAUCAGUUUGUCAACAGCUUACACACUAUAACAGACCAACCCCACACUUACACACACACUCACACACGUGUUGCCAGCAACACAUCACACCUUCGAACGACGACAGAGACACAUUUAGCCUCCAAGCCAGGAAGCAUAGUGUGCGUGUAUAAGAGUCUUUGACGAGUGGAUAUUACCCAGAGGGAGACGCGCGUGUUUUGUGUGUUUGAGAAUGUUUAGUACUGUCGCCAACAUGACGCUAGAUGGCACCAGAGCGUUUCGUAGGAGCGGGCUGAGGCUGCUGUGGCUGCUGGGAGACUCAGUGCUGAACACAGCCGCCGAGCUGCAGCUCUGCCCCGGGCUGGGUCAGUGUGGCCACCGCUCCUCCGGCCUCUGGAGCUGCACUCUCACUUUGUUUUUCAGGUGUGAGCCUGGUUUCCAUCACAAUCCAAUGAUAAAUGUAGUCCGAGAUACUUUGCAGUUUGACGCAUCAAAUUUCAAUAUUUUUAUCAGAUACUGUUUUAUCGUAAUUUAAAUUUCUAUUUUUAGGCUCAGUAUUCUGUGCCAAAUAUGUCAUGUAUAUGAUAUAUAAAUAGUUUGCUUGUGGUGAAACAUGGUGUUGAUGCGUACUGAGGAUAUGAAUGUACAUGCGUGUAAAUGAAUAAUAUAUAUAUAUAUAUAUAUAUAUAUAUAUAUGUGUGUGUGUGUGUGUGUGUGUUUAUAUAAAUGAAAUGAUAAACCGGUCUCGAGCUCUGUGACUUAUGAUACUCAAACCGCUGCUCCCGCUAGCCUUAAUGACAUAGAAUUAACACUGAUUUACAUCGAGCAAAUGAUAAGAAAAUUAUGAUUUACUAUGCAAAAUCUGUUAUUAUAUAACUAAUAUUUAUUUUAAAAAUAAUAAUAACCACUUCUACUGCAGCAAUAAACACUGACAGCUGCAAAAGUAAAUAACUGAACUGUAAAGACUGAGGACAAUGGUAUUUAAACUAUAGAUGACAUACUGGGUCUAUAUGGUCGACCUUUUUAAACAACAUAUAUACUUAUAAAUUAAUAAUUAGAAAUUAAGUAUUUAUAUUUAAUGCAAAAAAUCUCUAUAUAUUAAUAGCAUAAAUCUGUGCCUGAGGUGAGCAGGCGUUAUGUUGUCUUUCUUAGCAUUUGUCUCUUCUCCCCCUCUCUCUUACACACAAUGUGCCUUUUAAAUAUUAGUUAAAUAUUUGUGUUUGUGCUGUAAUAAAGGAAGGAGCUGGUUUAUGACCAUAAAGUUAAUACCUGACACAGAGACUUGCCAGACUUCUUAAAGCGUCUCCUAUAUUAAAGCAUCAUCCACCCGUAGUUGCUACCUGCAGUUCUUUCAUAAACACUGGACGUAAAAAGAAAAGUUUUACCAAACCGUACAAUAUUAACUUUGUUGUGUGGUGACAGGUUUGCAGUAUGAAUGUGCUCCUAAUCCUAAAUGAAUAUCAAAAAUACUCAGCCAAUAAUGCGCUUAUGUAUUGUGGGAAAUGUAGUCGGCUACUGAUGCUUUAGAUGCUACAUAUCUAUUGUUAUUACCCGGCACCGCGUCUUAGUAUCUAUUGCUGUAACAGUGUUUGCCUACUGCUUAUAUUUUUGAUAACUGGUAACAAUAACUCUUUGUUGUUGAUUUUUUUUAUUGGUGCAGAGAUGACGAGAAGCGUGUAUUGCUUUUAAAUGUAUUCCGUUAACUAAACUUUCUUAUCCAGCCAUCAACACUGUGUCCUAUGAAAGCUGUCUCCCCAGUCAGAGGUGUUACUGACAUUCAGUGGAUAUACUGUCAACGCUUCUCUGUGCUCACCUACAGACUGAGGGAGGAGUGGCGGCGGCCAGCGGAUAUUCAAAGCUAAGAAAUGUUGAAUUUUGAUGUAUAUUUUGUAAAUCUGUAGAUGAAUGUGUUCUCUGAAUGCUUGCAAGAAUAAAAAGAAAUAAAUCUACCGAAAAUCUCAUCUUGUGUACCGUCUAUGGCCGCAUGAGAUGCACAAUUGUGUGCCGCUUUUCAGAUAUGUCACCAACCGCACAUAAUUUCCUGAUUAUAGGAAAUCAUUUCUGUAUCAGAUUUACGCAGUUUAUUUAACUGCACGCCCUUCAGUGUCAAUAUUAGUCAUAAUUAGUCUGACGGCAAGCAACACACAGUUCUAAUAACAAUUAAAGUUAUAAUAAUAACUUUAUUUCUGUAAGACAGCAAGUUAUGCUGCUUAGCCUGUGAUUGUGAGCCUUAACUAGUUAACUAGCCUCCAUGAAUUUUGGAGAUCCAGUAGGCUACAGUCGUAGAAAGCACUCAAAGGUUCAUUUGUUACAAAACAAACUGACACACUUACAACCUAUAUCUCAAAAGUAAGAGAUAGUAAAAGCCUAGAACUAUUUUGUGUGUGUGUGUGUGUGUGUGUGAGAGAGAGAGAGAGAGAGAGAGAGAGAGAGAGAGAGAGAGAGAGAGAGAGAGAGAGAGAGAGAGAGAGAGAGAUGAAGGAAUUUUCUUCAAAUAUCAGACCCUUUUAGAGGUGUUUGAUAUUUGAGACAGCAACAAAUUGGAGAGACCAAAGAGAAGACAGACAGACAGACAGACCUGCAGAUGUGUGUGUGUGUGUGUGUGUGUGUGUGUGUGUGUGUGUGUGUGUGUGUGUGUGUGUGUGUGUGUGUGGGUUGGUUGGGUGGAGGGGUGGAGGUCUUGGGCGGUGUCCUGGCCGGUUAGGUGUAGACAAAAAAAAAAAAAAAAAAAAAAAUAGCCCGCCCGCCGCAGGGAGGAAAUGAGAAGGGAAACAAAGUCAUAAAAGUGGGCUGGACGGACUGAGACAGAAAAAACAUUCCUGUGUCUGUAUACACACUCACACAGACACACACACUCACACAGACACACACACACUCACACACACAGGCUGUCAGUCAGCUGAAACCUGGAAGCUGUUCCACUGAGAUCUGGAAGUGAAACAAUUAAAAAAAUCACACACACACCACGAGAACAAAAGACAAUUCAGAAACACAGAGAGAUAGAGGGGCCACAUUUUACCUGCUGAAGACGUGACAUAAGAAACAAUCGGUAAGAUGCACAACAAGCUCUCUUUACUUUCAAAAUAAAAUUCUUGAUUUAAAAUAAUGACCUUACGAAUCCAGUACACCUGCUCUCACAUGGAAGCCAGCCUCACACCUUUGUAUAUAUCUGCCCCUUCCCCCCGUUCACAGUGAACGGCUCGGGGCAAAAAGAUGUGAGCUAAUCUUCCGGAUCACAAACAGCCGAGUUUUAACCGAUGGAUGGCUCUUCCGUAGCUAAUCCCACCACUUAGAGAGCCAAUUCAUCUGGAGAGUUCAUCAUGGAGCCUAAUCCAGCCAGGAAACGCUUUAAUCUGAGAUGGAAAAGUAACACCUCAUUUAUAAGGUUAAUGUGUAAACCAGAAGCAUCAGAAUCACGCAAAGCACUGCACUUUGACUUGUUUUGCUCCUUUAACAAUGCGCAUGCAGCAGCGCGCGCAGGGACUGCCGGAGGAGGAACGUGCAUGAAUGGCUCUUACCGUUUGUUGAUAAUCCGUCACGAGAGCCCCACACACCUGCAGAUCACUUCGGCGUCCCGCGUGCAGGCAGCCAGGCACCCCGGAAUGGCACGAGGCAGCCCUACCGCGUGUAGACCGGAUGGAUGGAUGAUAAUUGGAUGGAGGGGUGGAGGCGCGAGGAGGCAGCCGAGGACUUCCAGAGGCAACCCUGAGACAUUUCAUCUGGAUUUGGUGAGAGCUUUUGCAGCUCAAAUGGAGCAGACCUGGAUCUUUCAGCACGCAGAGCUUCCUCAGGUAAAACGCGGGGAAACUGCCCGCAGCUCGGGAGUUUGUAAUGAAGGAGCUGGGAGGUGUGAAGGUGUCUGUCGGUCUGGAGAUAGUAGCCUUCAGUUGGCUACUUGGUUUAAAGCACAGGAAGAGAGGGAUCUUCAAAGAUAAUGAAUGAAUCAAUGACAUGUUAAAAAUUUCCUUCACUAGAAGUCAGGUAACCUUCUGUUUUUUUUUUGUUUGUUUGUUUUUUUAAUUUAUGUAUUUAUUGUUUCCACAGGAACAUUUCAAAAAACGAGACUUCGUUCUCUGACAGAACUCAGUUCCUUUACCUUAUCUCCGCCAGGUUGGCCAGGAGAACAUUUUCAGACUAUACUGAUUUAUAUUUUUCUGUAUCGAUUAUGAAAUUGGUGAUAGAAAACAAAAUGUCAUGUGCUGGUACAGUUCAGAGCAGUGGAGUAAUAUGUCAGUGUACUAAUUUAUGAAAUUUGCCAUUAUAUCCAUUUUGUGUAACCUAUUCAGACUCUUAAGCCCAGAUAUAGCAUUUUAUUUACGCAGUCUUCGUCACAACAUGUUCAUCGUUCGAUUAUUUCACAACGCGCUACCUGAAGAAAUAAAUACAGACACGUAUAUGAGAGAAAUUAAAUAUAACAACGUAAUGUGUCAUCAGUCCAACAAAAAUAUGUUAUGAUAUGUUUAACCGCAUCUCAUUGUCGUCAUCGUGAGCUUUCAUUUUGAAAAUAAUAAUAUAAGUAUCCAUAUUCUUAUGAUUUGAGUAUCAGAUAAAAUGAUUAAAGGAUUAUACAUUCAUUUUCAUUGUUCACUGUUAAACAUUUAGUCACCCACCCAUGUGAUGUACAUGUUGGACAGUCUGCAGUGCAGCUGGAAUAUUUAAUCCAAAACUCGGAGAUGAGAUCUUGUUUAUAAUUUAUAGGUCAUAUAUGUAGUUUUUUUUUUUUGUUUUUAUUUAUUUAUUUUAAGGUGGGGAUUGGAGCCCAAGCUCUGAGUGCAUCACUGCUAAAUAAGGCUCCAAGUGUAAAUACUGAAACUUUGAAUGUUAUCUUGCCAUUAUCUGUAACAGUGGGGGGUAAAAGCCU